GUAUUAGGUAUUUAGUAACAAAUCCAAUUAUUUAGCUGGCAGUGCAGUGAGAGAGAGAGAGAGAGAGAGAGAGAGAGAGAGAGAGCAUCGAAACAAUUACUUGUGAAGUUAGUCUUCUUUCUUCAACAUCCAUCAUCUACCAUCAGUUUGAGCCUUGAGGAAAAAUAAAAUAAUAUAAUUUUCUUGUCUUCAGAUAGAAUGGUCGUCUCUCUCUGCAAUCAGAAACCAGAAUCUAAUGUGCGCUUAGGAUGUGUCUGAUCGACUCUCUCCUCUGCCCCUUUUCCGUCAACGUCGAAUUGGCAAAUUGACAGAACUGAUAGAAAUUAUCCGUUAUCCUUGAAAUCAAUCCAAAUUAUCCGAAACAGAAAGCAAGACGGAUCCGCCGGUGGAGCCAAGGAAGGGACCCGACUGUAUGGUGGGGUUGGAGUGCUUUCUGGACCUCGUCAGGGCACUCGGCAUGGGCUCCUGCCUCUCCCUGGAAGGCGGGGUCCCUUCCUCUCCGGGGCCGGGCAACAAGAGGAGGAAGAGGAGGGUGACUGGGAACUCCUCUGCCACGGCGGUAGCGCCGCCUUCCAGUAAUCUGGAGAUGUGGCUGCACAGAGUCCCUGACAGGCAGUUCCUCAAUGGUUCCUCUGAUUUUGCUUCCUUGUUCAGCAAGCAAGGCAAGAAAGGGGUCAAUCAGGACGCCAUGAUUGCUUGGGAGAAUUUUGGUUCCCCGGAUACCAUAUUUUGUGGUGUUUUUGAUGGGCAUGGCCCUUUUGGCCAUGUGGUUGCAAAGAAGGUGAGGGAUGCUCUACCUUUGAAGCUGACUUCACAAUGGGUAUUGACUAAUAACGCCAGGAAAGGGGCUGCUGAUGAUACCAACGAGGCUGCUUCAUAUCAAGACCACAAGGAUAUGGAGCACUGUGAGCUUUUUAUGACAUUGAAAGAUUCUUUUCUGAAGGCUUUUAAGGUCAUGGACAAGGAGCUCAAAUUGCAUCCUCGUAUUGAUUGCUUUUGCAGUGGGACAACUGCUGUUACCUUGGUCAAGCAGGGUCAGGAUCUUGUUAUUGCAAAUGUUGGGGACUCUAGAGCUCUACUAGGCACCAGAGAUGAAGAUGGCUCCCUCGUUGCUGUUCAGUUGACUGUAGACCUCAAACCAAAUCUUCCAAGGGAAGCAGAGAGGAUUAUGCUAUGUAAAGGACGAGUAUUUGCUCUCCAAAACGAGCCUGAGGUCGCUCGAGUUUGGUUGCCCAACAGUAAUUCACCUGGCCUUGCCAUGGCACGGGCUUUUGGAGAUUUCUGCCUAAAGGACUUUGGUUUAAUCUCUGUCCCUGAUAUUUCUUAUCGUCGCCUCACUGAGAAGGAUGAAUUUGUAGUAUUGGCUACUGAUGGGAUAUGGGAUGUCCUCUCAAAUGAAGAAGUCGUAAAAAUAGUAGCAUUAGCUCCACGAGCCUCUGCUGCUCGAGCCCUGGUAGAGUCAGCAACUCGAGCUUGGAGGUCAAAAUACCCAUAUGUCAAGGUUGAUGAUUGUGCUGUGGUUUGCCUCUUCCUCACCUCCAGUACAUCUGACAUUAGUUCCGAUUUCUCAUCAACCGGAGAGGAAAUGAGCUCUGGAAAUUCUUCCCAAUAUCAGGUUGGGAGUUAGUAUUAAGAAACAUCAGAAGCAUUGGCAUAUACUUUUAUGACUUGCCUGCUCCUGAGCCUUGUUGAUUGUAGGGUCAUUAGUUUUGUUAUCAUUGUCUAUAUUUCUUUUCCUUCGUAUCACCAUUUUAUUGAUUUUUAUUUUUAUUUUAUAAAAUCUUGGAAAAAGGUUUGAGGGUUUCAUUUAUAUUGAUUGGAAGAGAGACGUGUUAUUUCCUUGUCUCUCUUUAGCAGUGUCGAUUGGAGUUUUUGUAAAUACAGGUCUUGAAGCCUUGUAGUUCUUCAUUACAAAGGCUACCCUGAUUUUAUACGUUGGUAGGUGGUUGGAAAUUUUAUCCUUGGGUUUUUAUUAUAUUUCUGCUUUUACCUUCUUUGAUGUAUUGGUUUUUUCUUGUAAUUCCAGUGUAUUUUUUCUUCC